rnacentral:rRNA from 1 species
UACGGGAGGGUGCGAGCGUUGUCCGGAAUCACUGGGCGUAAAGGGCGCGUAGGCGGCUAUGUAAGUCAGUUGUGAAAUACCUCGGCUUAACCGAAGGAAGUGCGAUUGAUACUGCGUAGCUUGAAUCAGGUUGAGGUAGGCGGAAUGUGACAUGUAGCGGUGAAAUGCUUAGAUAUGUCAUAGAACACCGAUUGCGAAGGCAGCUUACUGGGCUUUGAUUGACGCUGAGGCACGAAAGCGUGGGGAGCAAACAGG